GGAGGCAGCGGCGGCGUCUCCAUUGUGGCUCCUCUCGGGCUUCAGAACGCAGGCACCGACCGCCGCCGCCAGCACCAUUCCAGCCGCGGACGCCGGCACUGCCCGCCCGCCGAGCCGCGUUCCAUCCGCCCCGGAGGGGGCGCCGCGCUCGCCUCACCGCGCGCCACCACCUGCGGCGGCGGCCCCCGCGGCCAUGGCCCGCUCGGCCGGGCGCGCUCCGUGUGCCUGCGCGGCUCCCGCGCUCGCCCGACUGCGGGGCGGCAGCGGCGGCGGCGGCGGGACGGGCGGGCGCGCGGGCUCGGCCACUUCCGGGUUCGGCCCCGGCUGGCGCUGACGCCGUGACGGGACGGCGAUGCGGCCUCCCGCGGCGGCCGGGGACCCCUCCCUCGGCGCCUCCCCUUCCUCCUGUUGUGCUGCUGUCGCUGCUGCUGCCGCCCAGGCGGCUUCUGCUGUGCUGCUUCUGGAGGCGGGCGGGCGGGCGCGAGCCGGAGCGGGGCGGGCGGGCCCAGACGCGGGGCCGGAGCGCGGGCGGCUGCCGCCCGCAGCGCGCCUGUGGGUCACCCGGACGGGGGAGCUGAAAAAUGGGGGGAGGGGUGUGUGUGCAGGAAAAAGGCGACAGAAAGCACCGCCUAAUGACGCUUGGUAUUCACUUGCUGCUCUGCUUCUCGGGCAUGUUCACAUUCAUUCUUUUAAUUUGAGCGUCUACCCAGGAACAUGGAAAGAGUAGGCAUAACCAUCCCCAGCCUUUCCAAACGGUGAAACCGAGGCAAGAAGAAAUGAAUAUGCCUGUCCAGUAGGUCCCAAGCAAGAAGCUAGGUCUUCCUCCUCAGUAUACCAUUUAUGCCUUGGAUGAGUGAAGUGAGCACCUACCAGGCAAGGUUCGGGUACUGGGAACGUGGUAGAGAGCCAAACCAAGUCUCUGCGCUUGUGGAGCUGUCCAUCUAGACGUGAUGACUGCUGUAUGGGCAAUAUGCAAAAGGAUGCAAGAGAGCCAGCAAGAUUAACCUGAUGGGAGGAACACAAGGAGGGUCUGGGCUAGAGUCAGAUUAAAAGAAGUCGUUACAUUCUGACCUAUUUAUUGGAUAAAGCACCAGGAACCUCUGGACUGGAGAUCCAACCCAGAGUUUCACUCAUGCUAGCAUGUUCCUCCCACAGACUCCCACCAAAGGCCCAAGGCAACAGGGCCAACCGAUCACGAUGGAAACCUCUAAAACUCAUCUGAACAACUGCAAGUCCAGCAAUGCAGACACUGGGAAGAACAGACCUGCUCACCACUCCUCUCACAACUGACCCGUCGAGGAUGUGAGAAUAUCCCAUUCUCAGAAAGAUACUCACUCCUGCGUUAACUGAUAAUACACAGACAUACAUAUGGGAGAGGAAAAUGCUCCCCAACCACCCACAAUGAAAUAAAAACAAUAGGAUACUUUAAAUUGCUAUGUUAAGUGAAGAAAUUUUGUCUUUGCUAUUGCUCUUGGCAUAUAGUAAAUGUUCAGUAAAUAUGAAAUGUGACAUUGGUGGUGAUCUUGGGGAAAAAGGGAGAAAGUAGUGGUGUUAAAGGAGUCGGAGGUAGUUUAUCUAAUUUUAAAUCCUCAAAAAAAUUACAUCCACAUUUAAAAAUAGCUCUAAAAUAUGUCAUAGUUAAAAAACAAAAAAGUAUGUGUUUAAUGAUCAAAAGUUCAUUAGGAGAGGGCUGGGGUUGUGGCUCAGUGGCAGAGCGCUUGCCUAGCAUGUGGGAGGCACUGGGUUUGAUUCUCAGCACCACAAAUAAAUAAAUAAAUACAUAAAGGUUCAUCAACAACUAAUGAAAAAACUUUUUUAAUAAAGGUCAUUAAGAGGAGAGGAAAUGUGCGUAUGUGCUUAUAUGCAUAUGUAAAUAUACCACAAGGAAUUUUAUGUAUGAGUAGAA